GAUGAAGAACGCAGCGAAAUGCGAUAAGUAAUGUGAAUUGCAGAAUUCAGUGAAUCAUCGAAUCUUUGAACGCACAUUGCGCCCGCCAGUAUUCUGGCGGGCAUGCCUGUUCGAGCGUCAUUACAGCCCUCAGGCCCCCGGGCCUGGCGUUGGGGAUCGGCGGAGCCCCCCGUGGGCACACGCCGUCCCCCAAAUACAGUGGCGGUCCCGCCGCAGCUUCCAUCGCGUAGUAGCUAACACCUCGCGACUGGAGAGCGGCGCGGCCACGCCGUAAAACACCCAACUCUUCUGAAGUUGACCUCGAAUCAGGUAGGAAUACCCGCUGAACUUAAGCAUAUCAAUAAGCGGAGGA
rnacentral:misc_RNA from 1 species